GAUGAACGCUGGCGGCGUGCCUAAUACAUGCAAGUCGAGCGAACGGACGAGAAGCUUGCUUCUCUGAUGUUAGCGGCGGUCGGGUGAGUAACACGUGGAUAACCUACCUGUAAGACUGGGAUAACUUCGGGAAACCGGAUCUAAUACCGGAUGAUAUUUUGAACCUCAUGGUUCAAAAGUGAAAGACGGUCUUGCUGUCACUUAUAGCUGGAUCCACGCUGCAUUAGCUAGUUGGUAAGGUAACGGCUUACCAAGGCAGCGAGGCAUAGCCGACCUGAGAGGGUGAUAGGCCACACUGGAAGUGAGACACGGUCCAGACUCCUACGGGAGGCAUCAGUAGGGAAUCUUACGCAAUGGGCGAAAGGCUGACGGAGCAACGCCGCGUGAGUGAUGAAGGUCUUCGGAUCGUAAAACUCUGUUAUUAGGGAAGAACAUAUGUGUAAGUAACUGUGCACAUCUUGACGGUACCUAAUCAGAAAGCAACGGCUAACUACGUG
rnacentral:rRNA from 1 species